rnacentral:rRNA from 1 species
AUGAAUUGCCUAUCGUGGAACUGUCGCGGGCUUGGGAACCCGGAGACAGUUCGAGAGCUUCACAACCUAGUGAAGCAAGAAGUGCCCGCCUUGGUCUUCUUGUGUGAGACGAAGAUCGAGGGAAGGAGAGUCAGUGAUUUGACGUCACGGUUAGGUUUUGAGGGCUGCUAUCCAGUUAGCAGCAAUGGACUAAGUGGUGGCCUGGCUUUGUUCUGGUCAAAAGAAGUGGAUGUGACCCUAAACAAUUUCUCUGACCAACACAUAGAUGUAAUGGUGAGGAAUGUGAUGGGUGAUCGAAAGUUGUGGUGGUUUACUGGUUUCUAUGCAAAAGCAAGACGAAGUGAGCGCGCCGAGAGUUGGGAACUAUUGCGUUGGCUCAACACUCAGAGUGACGCCCCAUGGCUCUGCGGGGGUGAUUUUAAUGAAAUUGUGGAUAACUCAGAGUUUUUUGGUGUACAUGAUCGCCCGGAGUGGCAAAUGGAUGGUUUUCGAGAGUGUCUUGAUGCAUGUGAUUUCCACGACCUGGGUUCCAGGGUGUUCCUUUCACUUGGGACAAUAUGCAGCAAGGCGACUCAAAUGUUAAAGUUCGCUUGGAUAGAUACAUGGCAAACCCAGCGAUAA